UACGUAGGGGGCAAGCGUUAUCCGGAUUUAUUGGGUUUAAAGGGUGCGUAGGCGGGCUGUUAAGCGUGAGGUGAAAUGCCACGGCUCGACCGUGGAACUGCCUCGCGAACCGGUAGUCUUGAAUGCCCCUGCCGUGGGAGGAAUGUGUGGUGUAGCGGUGAAAUGCAUAGAGAUCACACAGAACACCGAUUGCGAAGGCAUCUCACGAAGGGGUGAUUGACGCUGAGGCACGAAAGCGUGGGGAUCAAAC
rnacentral:rRNA from 1 species